rnacentral:lncRNA from 1 species
GUUACUACUUAGUAUUUUUUCUGACUCUUUUUUUUUUCAAAAUAAUUUUAUAAAAUUUUCUAAUUGGAUAAAACUUAGUUUGGUAUUAAGCUCUAUCUAACGCUAUUAGAUAGAAUGGAGUUGAGAAAAAAUAUAUAGGGAUAUGUUUCUGCUCUCCGAUUGGACCGCAGAAAAUAUAUCGUAACCAACUAAUCGCAAUAUGCGGAACACAAUAUUACAUACGAAAACAAACCGUAUAUUUUUACAUCGUCGUUUCUCACCGCACAUAAAGUAACCGAUUGGACUGCAGAAAAUAUAUAGUAACCAACUAACCGCAAUAUGCGGAAUACAAUAUUACAUACGAAAACAAACAGUAUAUUUUUACAUCGUCGUUUCUCACUGCACAUAAAGUAAUCCCCGCAUUCCCAAACGAAGCUUAUAUAAUCCCACAAAGAAAAAAUUAGUAAACAAACUCUCCUUUUAUCACGUAGGAGCCACAAAAGUUUUUUCUUAAUCUUUCUAAUUUUUUAUAAAAACGGUGAAUUAUUCACUGUUUUUCUCUUCUAUUGUUUCUUUCUAUUUUUCAUAUGAUCCUAACAAUCAUAUAGAAAUUUCAACAAAUUUCAUAUAAUUUCAACACUAAAAUUUUUUUAAUAAUCUAUUCAUACAACCCUAACAAUUAAAUAAAAAUUUUAAUAAUCCACAUACAAUCCUAACAAUCUCACUUUUUUUUAAAAUUUUUAAUUUUUAUGAAGGCCGUAAAUAAUUCACCGUUUUUAAGGGCAAAUUUUGUCAUGGCUCCUAUAUGGCAAAAGAAAGACUAUUUAGCCAAUUAUAAUA